rnacentral:ncRNA from 1 species
UGAUCGACCAUGACGGGAAGAGUAGGCUUGCAAACUUAUGACAGAGAGCCGGGGUAGCUGCGAACCGGUAUAAGCGACCAAGCCGAACAUGGACCCUGAGUUUCACGGAUGAACGGGCACCUUGGCACCAGUAGUUCGUGACGUAAGCCUACGUUACAGGUGAAGUCAGCAGCACUGACUUGCCAAGUCCGCCAUUCGCGAGAAGGCGGAGCAUUUGGGUGGUACCACGAGAUCAAAGCUCGUCCCAAUC